rnacentral:rRNA from 1 species
UACGUAGGGCGCAAGCGUUGUCCGGAAUUAUUGGGCGUAAAGAGCUCGUAGGCGGCCUGUUGCGUCCGCUGUGAAAUCCCGGGGCUCAACCCCGGGCCUGCAGUGGAUACGGGCUGGCUAGAGGCAGGCAGGGGAGAACGGAAUUCCUGGUGCAGCGGUGAAAUGCGCAGAUAUCAGGAGGAACACCGGUGGCGAAGGCGGGUCUCUGGGCAACAACUGACGCUGAGGAGCGAAAGCGUGGGGAGCGAACAGG